rnacentral:lncRNA from 1 species
AUUUUAUGUUCUCUUCUAGAAGUUUUAUAGUAAUUUUAGAUUUUACAUUUAGGUAUAUGAUCAAUUUUUAGUUAAUUUUUGUACACAGUGUAAGAUGUGAAUCGAAAUUCAUACUUUUGUACAUGGAUAUCCAGUUCUUCCAGCACCAUGUAUUGGAAAAAACAAUUUUAUUUUUACCUUUGCACUUUGUCAAAAACCUUAUAUAUAUGGAUCUAUUUCUGGACUCUGUAUUCUGUUGCAUUGACCUAUUUGUCUAUUUUUAUGCUAAUACCACUGUUUUAAAUACUGUAGAUUUAUAAUGGCCUGAAAUCAGGUAGUGUCAGCCCUCCAACUUUGCUCUUUUUGUUGAAGUUAAUUGUUUUGGCUAUUCUAGAGCUUUUGCAUUUCUAUAUAAAUUUUAGAAUCAGCUUAUCAAUUUCUUUUUUGAAAAAAAGCCUACUGGGAUUUUGAUUUGGAUUGUGUUGAACCUAUGGAUCAAUUUGGGGAGAAGUGACAUCUUAACAAUAUGAACCCAAGAGCCAGAACCUCCAACGUUGAAGAAAAGUGGUUUUGACCUUUAGGAGAGAGCCAAUUCUGGAGAACAACCUAACUUCUUUGAUUGAACACUCACAUAAUGCAUUGGAACAUGAUAGGAGAUUAAGCUGAGAGCAGGGGCUGGGAGAUUGCUGCUGCUUGUCAGCUGUUGUACAGAAUAGCAUCAAAAUGCAAUAAUGGUGGCCAAAGGAGCCUGCACCCACCGACUUUUACAGACCAGGUUUAAUAAUGAUAAAAUGAAGACCAUAAUAAAACAGCCCCCUACUUAGCCCAGCAAUUCUUACUUUUCUUACCUGCUUGAUGAAGAUGUCUUUUGAAAGAUGUACUACAAGAAUGAAACGCUGUUUGUAAAUAAUGCUUUUACCAAGGUAAAGACUAAAUUUUAUGAAUUCACUUUUUGUUUGUAAAAGAAAAAAAUAAUUUCAUAUAUUUAAUGCAUUCAAAAGUUUGAUUAAAUAUUUAACUGUAUUGAAUUAUUAAGUUGACCCAGGA